rnacentral:rRNA from 1 species
CCCUUAGAUGUUCUGGGCCGCACACGCGCUACACUGAAGGAGGCAGCGUGUACUCCUGGAUCGAAAGAUUUGGGUAACCCGCGAAUCUCCUUCGUGCUAGGGAUUGAGGUUUGCAAUUAUCCUUCAUGAACGAGGAAUUCCCAGUAAGUGCAAGUCAUAAGCUUGCGCUGACUACGCCCCUGCCCUUUGUACACACCGCCCGUCGCUACUACCGAUUGAAUGAUUUAGUGAGGACUUCGGACUGGGACCGAUGCGGCUUUCGGGCUGCGUCGGUAUUCUGGAAAGAUGUCCAAACUGUAUCAUUUAGAGGAAGUAAAAGUCGUANCA